rnacentral:tRNA from 1 species
GCUCUGGUGGCAAAACGGUUAAGCGCUCGGCUGCAAGCUGAAGGGUUGGUGGUUCAAACCCACCCAGCAGCU